rnacentral:tRNA from 1 species
GGAGGGUAUAGCUCAGUGGUAGAGUGCUUGCCUAGCAUGCGUGAGGUCCUGGGUUCAAUCCCCAGUACCUCCA